AACGCUGGCGGCGUGCCUAACACAUGCAAGUCGAGCGGGGAGAGAUAGCUUGCUAUCGAAUCCCAGCGGCGGACGGGUGAGUAACGCGUGAGCAAUCUGUCCUACACAGGGGGAUAACAGCUGGAAACAGCUGCUAAUACCGCAUAAGACCACAGUACCGCAUGGCACAAGGGUCAAAGAUUUAUCGGUGUAGGGUGAGCUCGCGUCCCAUUAGAUAGUUGGCGGUGUAAUGGACCACCAAGGCGACGAUCAGUAGCUGGUUUGAGAGGAUGAUCAGCCACAAUGGGACUGAGACACGGCCCAUACUCCUACGGGAGGCAGCAGUAGGGAAUUUUGCGCAAUGGGGGAAACCCUGACGCAGCAACGCCGCGUGACCGAUGAAGCCCUUCGGGGUGUAAAGGUCUGUCAGUGGGGACGAAACUUGACGGUACCCACAGAGGAAGCAUCGGCUAACUCCGUG
rnacentral:rRNA from 1 species